GACUUCGCCGCUGCUGUAGUUCCCCGGCUGGAUGCGGUGACUGGUGCCAGUGCUCAGGCGCCCGCUGCCCUUGACCUCCCGCCCCGCGAGCCCUAACUCAGCGCAGGAGGACCGGCUGCCGCCGCCGCCGCCGCCAGAUCCACACAACUUAAAGAUCUGCUGUCGAGUGAAUGGGGAAGUGGUCCAGAGCAGCAACACCAACCAGAUGGUAUUCAAGACAGAGGACCUGAUAGCCUGGGUGUCCCAGUGAGUGACAGGGGCUAUCCUGCCAGCCCCGCUCCACCUGCCACACAUGUGGAGGCUGACCUGAGCCCUCCACCUUUGGCUGUGGCCACCUCAGCCAGCCCCUGGUCUCACCGGGUCCUUUUGCUUUGCUCCAGGUCUCUGAAGGUCCAGACAGCACUGAUGGCGAGCUUUGGGUCCGCACACUCUGGAAAGAAGAGAGAAGUGAAGGCUCUAGGGGGCAGCAGCCACCAGCAAACACCACUGCCUGCAGGAGCCUGGGCUGACUGGUUGGGACUCACCGAAGAUCCCUUCUUCCUGGGCGGUGGCCUGCAGGAACUGGAACAGCUGCUCUGUGUAGCCCAACUCUGCAGAAGAGAGAAGACCUAGACCUGGCACCCAGCACAGACACAGCCUGCCUCGAGGACUGCAAGGGAACAAGGGCCUCACCAGUAUCGGGCAGCUGGCCCUGGCGGAGGAAGGCGGCAGCCUGUGCAAAGGCCUUGAGCAGCGGGCUGAGCAGGCGGCAGAGGAAAAGAAAGAAAUCUGGGCAGUGUGACUGCUGGCUGAGCUGGAGGGGACAGGCCGGGGUGAGUGCAGCUCCCCACCGCCUCCCUACCACCUCCCUCCAGGGGCAGCUUUUUGAAACACACCCUGAAGUACCGGCCGUCAGCCUCUCCGAAGUCAUCACUGUCACUAUCAGUAAAGUCCCCACUCGGUUUCCACA
rnacentral:lncRNA from 1 species